UGUGUGUUAGUGGAAGCGUCUGGAAAGGCGCGCGAUACAGGGUGACAGCCCCGUACACAAAAAUGCACAUGCUGUGAGCUCGAUGAGUAGGGCGGGACACGUGGUAUCCUGUCUGAAUAUGGGGGGACCAUCCUCCAAGGCUAAAUACUCCUGACUGACCGAUAGUGAACCAGUACCGUGAGGGAAAGGCGAAAAGAACCCCGGCGAGGGGAGUGAAAAAGAACCUGAAACCGUGUACGUACAAGCAGUGGGAGCACGCUUAGGCGUGUGACUGCGUACCUUUUGUAUAAUGGGUCAGCGACUUAUAUUCUGUAGCAAGGUUAACCGAAUAGGGGAGCCGAAGGGAAACCGAGUCUUAACUGGGCGUUAAGUUGCAGGGUAUAGACCCGAAACCCGGUGAUCUAGCCAUGGGCAGGUUGAAGGUUGGGUAACACUAACUGGAGGACCGAACCGACUAAUGUUGAAAAAUUAGCGGAUGACUUGUGGCUGGGGGUGAAAGGCCAAUCAAACCGGGAGAUAGCUGGUUCUCCCCGAAAGCUAUUUAGGUAGCGCCUCGUGAAUUCAUCUCCGGGGGUAGAGCACUGUUUCGGCAAGGGGGUCAUCCCGACUUACCAACCCGAUGCAAACUGCGAAUACCGGAGAAUGUUAUCACGGGAGACACACGGCGGGUGCUAACGUCCGUCGUGAAGAGGGAAACAACCCAGACCGCCAGCUAAGGUCCCAAAGUCAUGGUUAAGUGGGAAACGAUGUGGGAAGGCCCAGACAGCCAGGAUGUUGGCUUAGAAGCAGCCAUCAUUUAAAGAAAGCGUAAUAGCUCACUGGUCGAGUCGGCCUGCGCGGAAGAUGUAACGGGGCUAAACCAUGCACCGAAGCUGCGGCAGCGACGCUGAUGCGUUGUUGGGUAGGGGAGCGUUCUGUAAGCCUGCGAAGGUGUGCUGUGAGGCAUGCUGGAGGUAUCAGAAGUGCGAAUGCUGACAUAAGUAACGAUAAAGCGGGUGAAAAGCCCGCUCGCCGGAAGACCAAGGGUUCCUGUCCAACGUUAAUCGGGGCAGGGUGAGUCGACCCCUAAGGCGAGGCCGAAAGGCGUAGUCGAUGGGAAACAGGUUAAUAUUCCUGUACUUGGUGUUACUGCGAAGGGGGGACGGAGAAGGCUAUGUUGGCCGGGCGACGGUUGUCCCGGUUUAAGCGUGUAGGCUGGUUUUCCAGGCAAAUCCGGAAAAUCAAGGCUGAGGCGUGAUGACGAGGCACUACGGUGCUGAAGCAACAAAUGCCCUGCUUCCAGGAAAAGCCUCUAAGCAUCAGGUAACAUCAAAUCGUACCCCAAACCGACACAGGUGGUCAGGUAGAGAAUACCAAGGCGCUUGAGAGAACUCGGGUGAAGGAACUAGGCAAAAUGGUGCCGUAACUUCGGGAGAAGGCACGCUGAUAUGUAGGUGAAGUCCCUUGCGGAUGGAGCUGAAAUCAGUCGAAGAUACCAGCUGGCUGCAACUGUUUAUUAAAAACACAGCACUGUGCAAACACGAAAGUGGACGUAUACGGUGUGACGCCUGCCCGGUGCCGGAAGGUUAAUUGAUGGGGUCAGCGCAAGCGAAGCUCUUGAUCGAAGCCCCGGUAAACGGCGGCCGUAACUAUAACGGUCCUAAGGUAGCGAAAUUCCUUGUCGGGUAAGUUCCGACCUGCACGAAUGGCGUAAUGAUGGCCAGGCUGUCUCCACCCGAGACUCAGUGAAAUUGAACUCGCUGUGAAGAUGCAGUGUACCCGCGGCAAGACGGAAAGACCCCGUGAACCUUUACUAUAGCUUGACACUGAACAUUGAGCCUUGAUGUGUAGGAUAGGUGGGAGGCUUUGAAGUGUGGACGCCAGUCUGCAUGGAGCCGACCUUGAAAUACCACCCUUUAAUGUUUGAUGUUCUAACGUUGACCCGU
rnacentral:rRNA from 1 species